GAGUCAAUACAACUAAUCAUUUAAUGGGGACAGAGCGGAGUGUACGCGGAGCGAGGCAGGAGAGCGAGAGGAGCAGCUGCUGCCGCCGGACCGGGCGCUAUCACCUCCACCCCCCGACCGCCUGGACGCCUCCUACCGCUUCUCCCGCUCGGUCACAUCCGCGCCGAGCCUCCCUUGGACCCCGCCGCCGGAAAGUAGACGCCACUUUUCCCCCACUUCGCCCCGUUGUUUGAACGUGUCGAACCUGCUCCGACCUCCUGCCAACCCGCAUCCGCCGCGAGUUAGCACCGAGAGAAGCACGCUGUCUUUAUUAUUGUUGUUGUUGUUGUUGUUUUGGGUUUUUUUUGCCCGCCGGCGUUGCAGUUCGGUCCGUCGGCGAGGGAGGAACGCGGGGGUCGGUUCGGUGCGGUGUCCGUGGCCGGGUUUUUUUUUUUUUUUUUUUUUUUUUUUUUUUUUUUUCCUGAGCAGCUCCGGCGCACGGGUUGCCGAGCUUUUCACCCCCUUCCGCUGCUCCGCCUGCUAACCGCACCGCUUUCUCUUCGCUUCCCUCGCCGUCGCCGCUAAACCUCUCCCCCCGCUCCGUAACGCGUGCAUGUCGCCGGUCGCGGAGCUCGCAGCGCCCGCGUCGGCGGUGGAAGCUAACCGCGCGGGGAAGCGGUGAACGCAAGCGGCGAGAGGCGUACGAAGAGCAGCAGCGAGCGACGAGCGAGCGGUAUGUCACGGUCCGCGGUGCGUUCCCACUGACCGCGAAGAAGAAGAAGAAGAAGAAGAAGAAGCGUUCGCACGGAAGAACCGCCGUCCGCUGCCAUGCACACGUAAAAAAAUAAAAAACGGGAGAGGCAGCGCGAGGAGCCGGCCAGCCCAACCGGAGUUACUGUUUUUGGGGCUUGUUUGGGAACCUUUUUUUGUUUUCUACCCUGGCCAAACUUGAAGAAGAAGAGACGACGCGGUGCAGGUGGCGUUGUAUGCUCUCCAGUGCUGAAGUGCGGCGGCGUUUCAGGUGAUAUAAGCUGAGGAGCUGAGAAUGAUGGAACAUCUCAGCGAGACGUGUCUGGGCAAAGAGAACUCUGAGCUGGUGAGCGGCAUGGCAGAGGCCAAGGGCCCGGCGUCCAAAAUGGUGCGUCUGGAGAACGGCCCGUCUCUGCCCGGGGCCCCUCCGGCCAAACUGCCGCGCCUGGAGCAGAACGGGCCCAGCGCCCCGAGCGGACCGCCCGCCAAACUGCCACGCCUGGAGCAGAACGGGAGUCCCCUGGGGCGCGCCCGCCUCGCCAGCAACGGAGCCAAACUCUCCGGGAUCCCGUACAAGCCCAGCAACCACCUGCUCAAGUCCUGCCACAAGAGAGGUAACAUGCUGCCGGUGUUCUGCGUGGUGGAGCACUUCGAGAACCCGCUGGACUUCGACAGUAAAGAGGAGCACGCCGAGUUCGUCCUGGUCAGGAAGGACAUGCUGUUCAACCAGCUGAUCGAGAUGGCUCUGCUGUCUCUGGGCUACUCCCACAGCUCCGCCGCUCAGGCCAAAGGCAUGAUCCAGGUGGGGAAGUGGAACCCCGUGCCCCUGUCGUAUGUGACCGAUGCCCCUGACGCCACAGUGGCCGACAUGCUGCAGGAUGUUUACCACGUGGUCACGCUCAAGAUCCAGCUGCACAGUUGUCCUAAGCUGGAGGAUCUGCCGCCCGAGCAGUGGAGCCACUCCACAGUAAGAAACGCCCUCAAGGAGUUACUCAAAGACAUGAAUCAAAGCUCUCUGGCAAAAGAAUGUCCCUUAUCACAGAGCAUGAUUUCCUCCAUCGUGAACAGCACUUACUAUGCAAAUGUGUCGGCCGCCAAGUGUCAGGAGUUUGGACGCUGGUAUAAACAUUUCAAGAAGACAAAGGAUAUGAUGGGCAUGCGCCAACCCUCCCAGCUGGAGGGCUACCUGGGGACGUGUGUCCUCCGAGAGAGCCCGCGUGCCAAUGCACUAGACAUGGACGGUCUGGCAGACUUGUCUCCUCCGGGCUCCAACCACAACCACCUGAGCUUCUCGCAGCAGCAGCAGCCCAUCCCGGGCAGCACGGCGGAGCAGACGCCCUCGUCCCCCGUCCCGCCCCUGUCCCACGCCCCGCCCUCUCACGGCGGGCAGGGCGGCGGCCGUCAGCCCCAGAUGCCCGGCCUGCACCACCCGGGGCUGGUGUCCGCGCCCAUCAGCCCGCAGCUGGUCAACCAGCAGCUGGUCAUGGCUCAGAUCCUGAACCAGCAGUACGCCGUCAACCGCCUGCUGGCCCAGCAGACCCUGUCCCAGCAGUACCUCAACCACCCCCCGGUCAACCGCAACCACACCAAGCCCCUGGAGCCUCAGGUCGCCUCCAACACCGACGUGUCCUCAGAGAUUUACCAGUGGGUCAGGGACGAGCUCAAGAGAGCCGGCAUCUCCCAGGCCGUGUUCGCACGAGUCGCCUUCAACAGGACGCAGGGGCUGCUCUCCGAGAUCCUGCGCAAAGAGGAGGACCCGAAAACCGCCUCCCAGUCGCUGCUGGUGAACCUCCGGGCCAUGCAGAACUUCCUCCAGCUCCCGGAGGCCGAGCGAGACCGGAUCUACCAGGAGGAGCGCGAGCGGAGCCUGACCGCCGCCUCCGCCAUGGCCUCCGCCCCCCUCAUCAGCACGCCCCCCAGCCGGCCCGUGCAGCCCUGGCGGGAGGAGAGCGUUCGGCCGGACGACUGGAACCCGCGGAUCCCUGUGGGCAUCUCUCCUGUGAGCACCUCCCCCGUGCACCUUCACCCCCCCAGACGCCCAGUGAAGCCCUCCACGCUGCCCAGCGAGUGGAACGGGAAGACGGAGAACUGCCUGGUGAACAUCAACUCCACCAUCUACGACGAGAUCCAGCAGGAGAUGAAGCGGGCCAAGGUCUCCCAGGCGCUCUUCGCUAAAGUGGCGGCGUCCAAAAGCCAGGGUUGGCUGUGUGAGCUUCUGCGUUGGAAGGAGGACCCGACCCCCGAGAACCGCACGCUGUGGGAGAACAUCUCCACCAUCCGCCGCUUCCUCAACCUGCCCCAGGGCGAGCGCGACGCCAUCUACGAGCAGGAGAGCAGCGCCAUGCAGCAGCACCACAGCGAGAGGCCCACGCACCUGCUGCACCUGUCGCAGGACCAGAUACAGGCCCAGUCCCAGAGCCAGCACCCGCCGCCCCUGUCCCUGCAGCUGCCCCCCCAGGCCGUCCUGCCCCAGCCCGUGCUCCCUCAGCCGCCCCUCCAGCCCCAGCAGGGCCCGCGCCUGCCGCCCCGCCAGCCCUCCACCGGCUCCCCCGCCGAGAGCCCCGAGGACUCCGAGGGCUCCAGGGCCUCCAACAAGCCGCGCUCGUCCGGGGCCAAGAUCUCCCUGGAGGCCCUGGGCAUCCUCCAGAGCUUCAUCCAGGACGUGGGGCUGUACCCGGACGAGGAGGCCGUGCACACCCUCUCCGCCCAGCUCGACCUGCCCAAGCUCACCAUCAUCAAGUUCUUCCAAAAUCAGCAGUUCUACGUCAACCAGCCCACCAACCACAAGGGGGCGGCGUCCGGCAAAGAGCCCCGCCCCCACAGCACCAGCAGCAGCGCCGGCUCCAGCCCCGCCCUGGAGGAGGAGCUGACGGACUUCAGGGAGGUGAAGGAGCUGGACGAGAGCACCCAGACCGACCACAGCAACGUGUUCAGCGUGAAGAUGGAGGAGGGGCGGGGGAGCGAGGGCCAGCCGGAGAGCGAGCACAGCCCCGAGUAGAACCCGCGGGUCACCGGAGCAGAGCGGGUCAGUGCGGGAAACAUCUGACCAGAAGAUGUUUAGAUCUGUAUCGGCAAAGCACUUACGUUUAAAACAUGUUUCAUACAGAGACAAUGAAGCAAAAAGCACUGGAGCGACGAGAGUUUGACUGUAGCAGACGCACGGACGCCGGCCUGACCUGAGCUGACCUGAGCUGACCUGAGCUCCCGUGGGACCAGAGCAGGAGCACAGACACUGGGGCCUCCUGUAGUAUUGUGUAUUAUGCCUGUACAGACUGAAGCUCACGAAACACUGCACCACGUCAUGCUGUGGAUGUCCCCCUUUUACACUGACGCUUCACUUUUUCACACACUGAGUUCACCGAUUCUACUGAUUUCACUGAUUCUACUGAUUUCACUGAUUCUACUGAGUUCACUGAUUCUACUGAGUUCACCGAUUCUACUGAUUCCACAGUCCUGCACUUUGUCGGGGCGGCCAUAUGUGUUUGUGAUGUCCAACCAGACUUUUUUAAAACAGAAAAUGAAUUCAAAAGGACCGAGUAGUUGACCAGGCCUUAAUCAUGAGGUAAAUGUGGAGCCUGCUGGAUCACCGUGGACAGCUCACUCUUUACAUGUUUGUUAGGAAAGAAAUAUAAAUAUAUAUAAAUACUUAUAAAUAUAGACAUAUAUUGUAACUGUAAAAUACAGUCUUAAAGAAACUAUGCCAACAAAUGCCUUGUACUAUACGGCACUGCCGAGGUUACAUUCUUUUGCAAAACCUUUGUCACUGUAACUUUACAGCAGCUUAUGGAGACUGGUGGAAACGCACAUCCAGAAUGAGAAUAAAGAAGUCCGCCCAGCGCACACAGGGGACAGGGAGAUGUUCAAUCAGUCACAAACCGUCUUUUCUGUGGAUGAACCGAGGAUAAGGCCAUGUGCACUCGCCUGACGACAGGUGAAAAGGUCCAACGUAAACUCAGAUUCACUCACUGCGGUUACAUGCACAGAGAACAAUCACACGCCCAUCAUCUUCAAACAAACGCUCUCAGACGCUUGUCCCGGUCUGCAGCAGGUCCAGUUUACAGUAGGUCCAGUCUAGAGCAGGUCCAGUCUAGAGCAGGUCCAGUCUAGAGCAGGUCCAGUCUUGAACAGGUCAAGGAACCCAGUAAGUACGACUAGGGGACUACGAGGCGUUCAAGUGCUUCUAGUUAUUUAACCUUCGCUCUAAAACUUUGCAGCUAUAAUUAUAAAUAAAAACAGUUAUCGAACAUAUAAAACGAUGUAUAACUUUCAGCGAAAAAUGAGAUAAACAACAUCUCAUCACGUUGAGAAUUAGAUCUUCAGACGAGCUACGAACUCUGUUACUCACAAGUUCUUCACAACACAAAUGAACACGAAGCUCCAGAAGCUUUGACUUUUUACUUUACUUUUUUAAAACAUAGCGUCCAAAACAACGAACUGAAACCAAAUUUAAGAUCUAAACACUUAAAUCUAUCAGAAAAUUCAUUUUACUUGACGAGUUAUCUCAAAAUAAACGACCUCUAGACUAGAAUUAAACGUCUCAGAACUAGUAAGUAGUGAAUAAAUCUGAAAAAAUUUAAUGUAUGUCUAAUAUUUUCCGGACGAUUUCUUACGUUGUGCAGUUGAACGCCUCUCCUAGUCCGAGUCUAACGUAAAUCCGACUUUGCUGUGACUUGCUGCCGGUGUCUCCGAGUUCUACAAACUUCUCCAGACGCUUUUGAAAGCCGCUUCACGACAUCACAAUCAGAUCUGAAAGUUUAUAAAGUUUGGUUUAAAUUGGACGAGGCCUGUUUCCCCGUUUCCCGUGUUUUUUCUCGGUGUGCAUGUAAACGUAGUGAGCGUUAAACCGGCGAGCUUCGAGGACGUACAAUCAGAUCUCAGACUAUUACUAUGCAAAACCACCACACAGACACCGCACGAUGGACCCGAUGCAACGUUACCACAGAUUUUUAUGGCACAGCGCCGGGCAGCCUCAUCUUAUUUUACGAUAAUAUCCCUCUGUCCAUGUACCAUGAACCGUAGACUGUAAAUAGAAAUGGACGAAGCGAAAACGCAAAACCGCGAAUCUGAUUCUAAUUCACGUUUAAUUGGAAAAAACGUCGCUUUCUCUGUAACUGCUCCUGUCAAAUCUGUGUGUCGUUCGUUUAUUCGUUUUUCAAAAUAAAACCAAAAAUAAGAAAAUGAAAAAACAACAAUUUUCUUUAUUAUUUGCCUCCAAAACCAAAAUGAAAAAACGAAUAACGAUUCAUUUUUUUCAGUUUUUCAGAAUUUGUGUUUAAAUGAAAAAUGGAAAAAACAGACAUUUCCUGUUUACGUGACUUAAACUGCGAUGUCGGACUGAACCAGGACUAAACCAGGACUAAACUGUUUCAGUCCUGGUCUGAUCCCGGUGUCAGUCCCGUUCUGGUCUGUUCCUGGACUGGUUCUGGUCUGGUCCCGGUCUGGUCCCAGUCUCAAUCACGGUCUCAAUCACGGUCUGGUCCUGAUCUGGUCUCGACCUCAGUCCCGGUCUCAGUCCUGAUCUCAAUCACGG